CCUACGGGAGGCAGCAGUGAGGAAUAUUGGUCAAUGGACGAGAGUCUGAACCAGCCAAGUAGCGUGAAGGAUGACUGCCCUAUGGGUUGUAAACUUCUUUUAUAUGGGAAUAAAACGUUCCACGUGUGGGAUUUUGUAUGUACCAUAUGAAUAAGGAUCGGCUAACUCCGUGCCAGCAGCCGCGGUAAUACGGAGGAUCCGAGCGUUAUCCGGAUUUAUUGGGUUUAAAGGGCGCGUAGGUGGAUUGUUAAGUCAGUUGUGAAAGUUUGCGGCUCAACCGUAAAAUUGCAGUUGAAACUGGCAGUCUUGAGUACAGUAGAGGUGGGCGGAAUUCGUGGUGUAGCGGUGAAAUGCUUAGAUAUCACGAAGAACUCCGAUUGCGAAGGCAGUUCACUGGACUGCAACUGACACUGAGGCUCGAAAGUGUGGGUAUCAAACAGGAUUAGAUACCCUAGUAGUC
rnacentral:rRNA from 1 species